rnacentral:rRNA from 1 species
UACGUAGGGUGCAAGCGUUGCCCGGAUUUAUUGGGCGUAAAGGGCGCGUAGGCGGCUCUGCACGUUCGUUGUGAAAUCGCCCGGCUCAACUGGGCGGGGUCAGCGGAUACGGCAGAGCUUGAGCAAGCUAGGGGGCAAUGGAAUUCCCGGUGUAGUGGUGAAAUGCGCAGAUAUCAGGAGGAACACCGGUGGCGAAGGCGGUUCUCUGGGCAUGUCCUGACGCUGAGGAGCGAAAGUGUGGGGAGCGAACAGG